AUCCAGGUGACGAGUCCGAAAUAGGACGAAAUGCACAUCCUGAAU
rnacentral:hammerhead_ribozyme from 1 species